UACAGAGGGUGCAAGCGUUAAUCGGAAUUACGGGGCGUAAAGCGUGCGUAGACGGUUAUGUAAGUCAGGUGUGAAAGCCCCGGGCUCAACCUGGGAAUUGCAUUUGAGACUGCAUAGCUAGGGUGCGGAAGAGGGAAGCGGAAUUUCCGGUGUAGCGGUGAAAUGCGUAGAUAUCGGAAGGAACAUCAGUGGCGAAAGCGGCUUCCUGGUCCAGCACCGACGUUCAGGCACGAAAGCGUGGGGAGCAAACAGG
rnacentral:rRNA from 1 species